UAACUGAAGAGUUUGAUCAUGGCUCAGAUUGAACGCUGGCGGCAGGCCUAACACAUGCAAGUCGAGCGGAAACGAUGGUAGCUUGCUACCAGGCGUCGAGCGGCGGACGGGUGAGUAACGCGUGAGAAUCUGCCCAUUUGUGGGGGAUAACUCGGGGAAACUCGAGCUAAUACCGCAUAAUCCCUACGGGGGAAAGCAGGGGACCUUCGGGCCUUGUGCAGAUGGAUGAGCUCGCGUCGGAUUAGCUUGUUGGUGAGGUAAAGGCUCACCAAGGCGACGAUCCGUAGCUGGUCUGAGAGGAUGAUCAGCAACACCGGGACUGAGACACGGCCCGGACUCCUACGGGAGGCAGCAGUGGGGAAUCUUGGACAAUGGGGGCAACCCUGAUCCAGCCAUGCCGCGUGUGUGAAGAAGGCCUUCGGGUUGUAAA
rnacentral:rRNA from 1 species